AAGUACAAGUAACUUCUAUGAAAUAGCAAAUGAGCUUUUCCUAAGGUAUCCUUUUCUACAACUUUGUCACUGCAAUGGCUCUGAACUUCUUGUGCAUUUGUUAAAGGCAAAAUUUAAGCGAGUUAGGCAUCCUCUUCUAAAUGAUGAGCAAUUUGCACAGUUUAAAAUAAAGUACUCUAAAAUUAAUUCUGGUCGUAAGCGAAAUUCUGUCUUGCUGAAUGAGUCUGUUAAACUUUGCUCAGCAAAACGUCACUGCCAUCAUUCAAGCGAUAAGAAUGUGGAUGAUGGUGUAACUCAAGAUAUUAUAAAAAGUAUAAAGAAUGAGUGUCAGAAACUGCGCCCAGAUAUAGAAUUUUUGGCUCACCAGAUUAUCUUGUCUAUUGAGGCAUUAAAAUAUACAUGCCGAAAUGAAAGAACUUUGGAUGUCCUUAAUAAAUUCCCAGCACUUUACUAUGAAAAAGUUGUAAGUGGUUUAUGUAGUAUUUUUUUGUAUCUAUAUUGCUCUUUUAAUGUUGUCUUAAAACUGCAGCAUUCCUGAAUAUGAGCAAUAAGUCGCCCAU
rnacentral:lncRNA from 1 species